CGAGUCCGAGUCUCCACGGAGACGAAGUGGCGGUCAUCCAGCUUCCUAGAAAAGCUCUAACCACGUUAAUCUUUAGUUGCCUGUACCCGAAACCGACACAGGUAGGGGGGUAGAGAAUACCAAGGGGCGCGAGAUAACUCUCUCUAAGGAACUCGGCAAAAUGACCCCGUAACUUCGGGAGAAGGGGUACCACUGAGAAGUGGUCGCAGUGAAGAGGCCCAGGCGACUGUUUACCAAAAACACAGGUCUCCGCCAAGUCGCAAGACGAAGUAUGGGGGCUGACGCCUGCCCAGUGCCGGAAGGUUAAGGAAGUGGGUUAGGGAUUCGUCCCGAAGCACGACUGAAGCCCCGGUGAACGGCGGCCGUAACUAUAACGGUCCUAAGGUAGCGAAAUUCCUUGUCGGGUAAGUUCCGACCCGCACGAAAGGCGUAACGAUCUGGGCGCUGUCUCGGAGAGAGGCUCGGCGAAAUAGGAAUGUCUGUGAAGAUACGGACUACCUGCACCUGGACAGAAAGACCCUAUGAAGCUUUACUGUAGCUUGGAAUUGGGUUCGGGCUUGGUUUGCGCAGGAUAGGUGGGAGGCGAAGAAGAUUUGCUUGUGGGUGAAUCUGAGCCAACGGUGAGAUACCACUCUAACCAGGCUAGAAUUCUAACUUCAACCCGUCAACCGGGGGAAGGACAGUUUCAGGUGGGCAGUUUGACUGGGGCGGUCGCCUCCUAAAAGAUAACGGAGGCGCACAAAGGUUCCCUCAGGCUGGUUGGAAAUCAGCCAACGAGUGCAAAGGCAGAAGGGAGCUUGACUGCGAGACCUACAAGUCAAGCAGGGUGGAAACACGGUCUUAGUGAUCCGACGGCACCGAGUGGAAGGGCCGUCGCUCAACGGAUAAAAGUUACUCUAAGGAUAACAGGCUGAUCUCCCCCAAGAGUUCACAUCGACGGGGAGGUUUGGCACCUCGAUGUCGGCUCAUCGCAACCUGGGGCGGAAGUACGUCCCAAGGGUUGGGCUGUUCGCCCAUUAAAGCGGUACGUGAGCUGGGUUCAGAACGUCGUGAGACAGUUCGGUCCAUAUCCGGUGUAGGCGCAAGAACAUUGAGAGGAGUCUUCCUUAGUACGAGAGGACCGGGAAGAACGCACCGCUGGUGUACCUGUUAUCGUGCCAACGGUAAACGCAGGGUAGCCAAGUGCGGAGUGGAUAACCGC
rnacentral:rRNA from 1 species